GAGGAUGCCUCUGUGGAUAAUUCAGCUCCCAGUAGAAACCUCCAGAACGACUGACACUGAAGGAAAUCAAACUGGGAGAAGCUGUGGAGGGGGCAAGUACACCACUUCGACCAGAGCCACAUACCACAAAAUUUUACAGCCUGAGUGCAGAUAUGGCCACCCUACAGCAUCUAUCACAGUCCUAAUCCGUAUCUUUUGAUUCAACAAAGUGAUGUGCAGCUGAAUCACACAUUAAAAAUAAUUCAGAAAGCUGAGAUUUGUCCAGAGCUGGUUCUAACAGAUGUCUAUAACCUCCCCCAUAUCUUCACUUCAAACACUGGGACAGCAGGAAGGUGAAUCCACACACAGAGACAAACACAGAGUGUGUUGAGCCUUAGUGGAGUACAGCGCAAACAUCUGGCAGCAGUCAUCAGAGAGAAUUACAGUCGACCAAACAAAGCCUGUGUUGGGUGGAUUUAAUGCAAAAGUAACACAUACUAUGUGGUGGGGAUUUCUUAUGAGUUCAUUUACUGUUAGUAUGCUGUAACUAGAAUAAAACCAAAACUUAUAAUUAAGAAUCACUGGUACUUUGGAGACA